rnacentral:snRNA from 1 species
AUCGCUUCUUGGCCUUUUGGCUAAGAUCAAGUGUAAUAUUUUUUAUAUAAGCUUUAGUAUUAACUUGUUUGGCUCCAUAAAAACUUUGUUGGUAUUUUUAUUGGGAUUGUGAUAAUUAAUAUAUUGAAUUAGGGCAAACUGACAUGUCCCCGAAGUCUGAUCAUGUCAAAAUAGU